ACUCCUACGGGAGGCAGCAGUAGGGAAUCUUCCGCAAUGGACGAAAGUCUGACGGAGCAACGCCGCGUGAGUGAUGAAGGCUUUCGGGUCGUAAAACUCUGUUGUUAGGGAAGAACAAGUACAAGAGUAACUGCUUGUACCUUGACGNACUAACCAGAAAGCCACGGCUAACUACGUGCCAGCAGACCGCGGUAAU
rnacentral:rRNA from 1 species